rnacentral:rRNA from 1 species
UGAGUCCGAGGAGCUACGGCUCUUAAGUGAUACGAGUCAGACUUCCCAGUAAAGCCCGAACCACGUUAAUUUCUAAUUACCUGUACCCGAAACCGACACAGGUGGGUAGGUAGAGUAUACUAAGGGGCGCGAGAUAACUCUCUCUAAGGAACUCGGCAAAAUGACUCCGUAACUUCGGGAGAAGGAGUGCCUUAUUUAUAAGGUUGCAAUAACAAGAUCCAAGCAACUGUUUAUCAAAAACACAGGUCUCCGCUAAGUCGUAAGACGAUGUAUGGGGGCUGACGCCUGCCCAGUGCCAGAAGGUUAAAGAAGUUGGUUAGUGUAUGCGAAGCUGAUGACUGAAGCCCUGGUGAACGGCGGCCGUAACAAUAACGGUCCUAAGGUAGCGAAAUUCCUUGUCGGGUAAGUUCCGACCCGCACGAAAGGCGUAAUGAUUUGGAUACUGUCUCGGAGACAGGCUCGGUGAAAUAGACUUGUCUGUGAAGAUGCGGACUACCUGCACCAGGACAGAAAGACCCUAUGAAGCUUUACUGUAACUUGAAAUUGGAAUUGGACUUUGCUUGCGCAGUAUAGGUGGGAAGCGUUGAAGAUAUUCUUGCGGGAGUAUUGGAGCUAUCAGUGAGAUACCACUCUUGUAAUGUUAGAUUUCUAACUUUGAACCAUAAUCUGGUCAAAGAACAGUUUCAGGUGGGCAGUUUGACUGGGGCGGUCGCCUCCCAAAUGGUAACGGAGGCGUACAAAGGUUUCCUCUGAACGGAUAGAAAUCGUAUCUAGAGUGUAAAGGCAUAAGGAAGCUUGACUGUGAGACCUACAAGUCGAGCAGGGACGAAAGUCGGUCUUAGUGAUCUGACGGUACUGAGUGGAAAGGCCGUCACUCAACGGAUAAAAGUUACUCUAAGGAUAACAGGCUGAUCUCCCCCAAGAGUUCACAUCGACGGGGAGGUUUGGCACCUCGAUGUCGGCUCAUCGCAUCCUGGGGCGGUAGUACGUCCCAAGGGUUGGGCUGUUCGCCCAUGAAAGCGGUACGCGAGCUGGGUUCAGAACGUCGUGAGACAGUUCGGUCCAUAUCCGGUGUAGGCGUUAGAAUAUUGAGAGGAGCCUUCUUUAGUACGAGAGGACCGAGAAGGACACACCGCUGGUGUACCAGUUAUCGUGCCAACGGUAAACGCUGGGUAGCUAUGUGUGGAGUGGAUAACCGCUGAAAGCAUCUAAGUGGGAAGCCCACCUCAAGAUGAGUA